rnacentral:tRNA from 1 species
CCUGGUGGCUCAGACGGUAAAGAAUCUGCCUGCAGUGCAGGAGACCCAGGAUCAAUCCCUGGGCCAGGA